GGAAGUAAAAGUCGUAACAAGGUUUCCGUAGGUGA
rnacentral:rRNA from 2 species